rnacentral:rRNA from 1 species
GACGAACGCUGGCGGCGUGCUUAAUACAUGCAAGUCGAACGCUGAAGGAGGAGCUUGCUUCGCUGGAUGAGUUGCGAACGGGUGAGUAACGCGUAGGUAACCUGCCUGGUAGCGGGGGAUAACUAUUGGAAACGAUAGCUAAUACCGCAUAAGAGUAGAUGCUGCAUGAUAUUUGUUUAAAAGGUGCAAUUGCAUCACUACCAGAUGGACCUGCGUUGUUUUAGCUAGUUGGUGGGGUAACGGCUCACCAAGGCGACGAUACAUAGCCGACCGGCGAGGGUGGGCGGCCAGACUGGGAGGGUGACAGGGCCCAGAGGGCUACAGGAAGGAGCAGGAGGGAAACGGCGGCAAUGAGCGGAAAUCAGAGUGAGAAAGGCCGCGGGAGGGAGGAGGGGUGUCGGAUCGGAAAUCUCGGUUGUAGGAGAGGAAAGAGUGUGCGAGUGGAAAGAACACACUGUGACGGUAUCUUGCCAGAAAGGGACGGCUAACUACGUG